rnacentral:rRNA from 1 species
AGAAUUUGAUCUUGGUUCAGAUUGAAUGCUGACGGCGUGGAUGAGGCAUGCAAGUCGAACGGAACUAUUUCGGUAGUUUAGUGGCGGAAGGGUUAGUAAUACAUGAAUAACCUACCUUUAACACUGGGAUAACAGUUGGAAACGACUGCUAAAACCGGAUGAGGUGGAGCUAGGGCAUCCUAGCACCAUCAAAAUAGGGGACCGAAAGGCCUGUUGGUUAAAGAGGGGUUCAUGGGAUAUCAGCUAGUUGGUAGGGUAAAGGCCUACCAAGGCUAAGACGUCUAGGCGGACUGAGAGGUCGAUCGCCAACACUGGGACUGAGACACUGCCCAGACUCCUAUGGGAGGCUGCAGUCGAGAAUCAUUCGCAAUGGGCGCAAGCCUGACGAUGCGACGCCGUGUGAACGAAGAAGGCCUUCGGGUUGUAAAGUUCUUUCGCUUGGGAACAAGAGAAACAGAGUAAUAUGCUGUUAUUUGAGUGUACCAGGUAAAGAAGCACCGGCUAACUCCGUGCCAGCAGCUGCGGUAAUACGGAGGGUGCAAGCAUUAAUCGGAUUUAUUGGGCGUAAAGGGCGCGUAGGCGGCCAGGUAAGUCAGGAGUGAAAUUCUAAAGCUCAACUUUAGAACGGCUACUAAAACUAUUUGGCUUGAGGGUAGACGGAGAAAAUGGAGUUCCGCAUGUAGCGGUGAAAUGCGUAGAUAUGCGGAAGAACACCGGUGGCGAAGGCGGUUUUCUAGUUUAUACCUGACGCUGAGGCGCGAAAGCAAGGGGAGCAAACAGGAUUAGAUACCCUGGUAGUCCUUGCAGUAAACGAUGCAUACUUGAUGUAGUUGGGCUCAACCCUGACUGUGUCGAAGCUAACGCGAUAAGUAUGCCGCCUGGGAAGUACACUCGCAAGGGUGAAACUCAAAAGAAUUGACGGGGACCCGCACAAGCAGUGGAGCAUGUGGUUUAAUUCGACGCAACGCGAAGAACCUUACCCAGGCUUGACAUGCAGAGGACGAUAUAAGAGAUUAUAUUUCCCGCAAGGGCCUCUGUGCAGGUGCUGCAUGGCUGUCGUCAGCUCGUGCCGUGAGGUGUUGGGUUAAGUCCCGCAACGAGCGCAACCCUUAUCGUUAGUUGCCAGCAUUUAAGUUGGGGACUCUAGCGAGACUGCCUGGGUUAACCAGGAGGAAGGUGAGGAUGACGUCAAGUCAGCAUGGCCCUUAUGUCUGGGGCUACACACGUGCUACAAUGGUCAGUACAGAAGGCAGCGAAGCCGAAAGGUGGAGCAAAUCCUAAAAAGCUGAUCUCAGUUCGGAUUGUAGUCUGCAACUCGACUACAUGAAGUUGGAAUUGCUAGUAAUGGCGUGUCAGCAAUAACGCCGUGAAUACGUUCUCGGGUCUUGUACACACCGCCCGUCACAUCAUGGAAGUUGGUUUUACCCGAAGUCACUGACUUAGCCCGCAAGGGGAAGAGGUGCCGAAGGUAAGGCUGAUGACUAGGAUGAAGUCGGAACAAGGUA